rnacentral:rRNA from 1 species
UACGUAGGGUGCGAGCGUUAAUCGGAAUUACUGGGCGUAAAGGGUGCGUAGGCGGAUGUAUAAGUUAGAUGUGAAAUACCUGGGCUUAACCUAGGAGGUGCAUUUAAGACUGUAAAUCUAGAGUUAGUCAGAGGGGGGUAGAAUUCCAAGUGUAGCAGUGAAAUGCGUAGAGAUUUGGAGGAAUACCGAUGGCGAAGGCAGCCCCCUAGGAUGUAACUGACGCUGAGGCACGAAAGCGUGGGUAGCAAACAGG